rnacentral:rRNA from 1 species
GAUGAACGCUGGCGGCGUGCCUAAUACAUGCAAGUCGAGCGAACAGACGAGGAGCUUGCUCCUCUGACGUUAGCGGCGGACGGGUGAGUAACACGUGGAUAACCUACCUAUAAGAUUGGGAUAACUUCGGGAAACCGGAGCUAAUACCGGAUAAUAUAUUGAACCGCAUGGUUCAAUAGUGAAAGACGGUUUUGCUGUCACUUAUAGAUGGAUCCGCGCCGCAUUAGCUAGUUGGUAAGGUAACGGCUUACCAAGGCAACGAUGCGUAGCCGACCUGAGAGGGUGGGCGCCAACAGGGAACUGGAGCCCGGGCCCAACCCCCAGGGGGAGGAGGAAGGGGGGAUUCUGCAGGAAGGGCGAAAGGCCGAAGGGGCAACGGCGGGGUGAAGAAGGAGGGUUUUCGGAUCGAAAACCUUUUUUAUAGGGAAAAAAAAAUUGUGAAGAAAUUUAGGCGCGUCUUGAGGGGACCUAAUAAAAAAGCCACGGCUAACUACGUG